UUCUUCCUGCCUGGUGCGUGGACCGAUGCAAAUUAACCCUACAAUGUUUGAAUCGGGAGCCCGGCUCCGGCGGCGGAUUGCAGACCUCCCGGCCUUUGGCCGGAAGAAGGGAGCAUGAAAGCGUUGGGAGGGCACCCACCUGCUGUUGAGUAGCAGGUUUUUUUCGCUCGUUACGGCCAGGCGGGCCAUUU
rfam:Clostridium sp. MSTE9 ctg120006482987, whole genome shotgun sequence.